CCUACGGGAGGCAGCAGUGAGGAAUAUUGGUCAAUGGUCGGGAGACUGAACCAGCCAAGCCGCGUGAGGGAGGAAGGUACAGAGUAUCGUAAACCUCUUUUGUCAGGGAACAAAGGCGGGGACGUGUCCCCGGAUGAGUGUACCUGAAGAAAAAGCAUCGGCUAACACCGUGCCAGCAGCCGCGGUAAUACGGAGGAUGGGAGCGUUAACCGGAUUUAAUUGGUUUAAAGGGUGGGCAGGCGGUGGGGUAAGGCAGGGGGCAAAGCCCGGGGACUAACCCCGGGCCCGCCGUUGAAACUGGCAGUCUCGAGUUGGAGAGAAGUAUGCGGAAUGCGCGGUGUAGCGGUGAAAUGCAUAGAUAUCGCGCAGAACUCCGAUUGCGAAGGCAGCAUGCCGGCUCCACACUGACGCUGAGGCACGAAAGCGUGGGUAUCGAACAGGAUUAGAUACCCGAGUAGUC
rnacentral:rRNA from 1 species